rnacentral:rRNA from 1 species
GACGGAGGGUGCUAGCGUUGUUCGGAAUUACUGGGCGUAAAGGGCGCGUAGGCGGCCCUGGCAGUCGGGUGUGAAAGCCCGGGGCUCAACCUCGGAACUGCCUUCGAUACUGCGGGUCUCGAGUCCGGGAGAGGUGAGUGGAAUUCCUAGUGUAGAGGUGAAAUUCGUAGAUAUUAGGAAGAACACCAGUGGCGAAGGCGGCUCACUGGCCCGGUACUGACGCUGAGGCGCGAAAGCGUGGGGAGCAAACAGG